rnacentral:rRNA from 1 species
UACGGAGGGGGUUAGCGUUGUUCGGAAUGACUGGGCGUAAAGCGCGCGUAGGCGGGCUGGAAAGUUGGGGGUGAAAUCCCGGGGCUCAACCCCGGAAUGGCCUUCAAAACUCCCAGCCUAGAGUUCGAGAGAGGUGAGUGGAAUUCCGAGUGUAGAGGUGAAAUUCGUAGAUAUGACAUAGAACACCAAUUGCGAAGGCAGCUUACUACAGGGACAUUGACACUGAGGCACGAAAGCGUGGGGAUCAAACAGG